GGGAUGGCUCCGCGGCCCAUCAGGUAGACGGCGGGGUGACGGCCCACCGUGCCGACAACGGGUAGCCGGGUUGAGAGACCGACCGGCCAGAUUGGGACUGAGACACGGCCCAGACUCCUACGGGAGGCAGCAGUGGGGAAUCUUGCGCAAUGGGGGGAACCCUGACGCAGCGACGCCGCGUGCGGGACGGAGGCCUUCGGGUCGUAAACCGCUUUCAGCAGGGAAGAGUCAAGACUGUACCUGCAGAAGAAGCCCCGGCUAACUACGUGCCAGCAGCCGCGGUAAUACGUAGGGGGCGAGCGUUAUCCGGAUUCAUUGGGCGUAAAGCGCGCGUAGGCGGCCCGGCAGGCCGGGGGUCGAAGCGGGGGGCUCAACCCCCCGAAGCCCCCGGAACCUCCGCGGCUUGGGUCCGGUAGGGGAGGGUGGAACACCCGGUGUAGCGGUGGAAUGCGCAGAUAUCGGGUGGAACACCGGUGGCGAAGGCGGCCCUCUGGGCCGAGACCGACGCUGAGGCGCGAAAGCUGGGGGAGCGAACAGGAUUAGAUACCCUGGUAGUCCCAGCCGUAAACGA
rnacentral:rRNA from 1 species